UACAGAGGUCCCAAGCGUUGUUCGGAUUCACUGGGCGUAAAGGGUGCGUAGGUGGUCGAGUAAGUCUGAUGUGAAAUCUUCGAGCUCAACCCGAAAAUGGCAUUGGAUACUAUUCGGCUGGAGGGUUGGAAGGGGGACUGGAAUUCCCGGUGUAGCAGUGAAAUGCGUAGAUAUCGAGAGGAACACCGGUGGCGAAGGCGAGUCCCUGGACAAUCCCUGACACUGAGGCACGAAAGCUAGGGGAGCAAACAGG
rnacentral:rRNA from 1 species